GAAGAAGAAUGUGGAUGGAAAAAUGCCACGGAGGGCCAGAGCGAGGAGACCUACCAUAAUGAGGCUGCCGGCAAACAUGCCAAGUGCAGGCUUUUUUUUAGGUACCCAGAUAGACUUCGUUUCCAGCCACUCUGCUAUUACCUGGGGCCACAGGACUGACUUCUAGCCAGAGCAAGUUAGGCUCUAUGCUCUAUGUGGACCCCAGUGUGGGGCGUCAACUCAUGACCCCGAGAUCAAGACCUGAGCUGAGAUCAAGAGUCGGAUACCCAACCAACUGAGCCACCCAGAUGCCCCCAACCUCCACAAGAUCUUAAUUCAGCCACUUACUGGUGACACCCAUUUUAGGUCUGCAAAUCUUCUAAGAAUUACAUGGUUAUUUAUCAGGUUCAUGAGCAAGCUACAACUGUGGCUGUGCAUUCUUGUCUCGGUGUCUGAUAAAGUGUGUGUCAUAGGCUCAGGUACACCCAUUUCUGGCUCCCUUGCUGGAAACUCAACUCUAGUCCUUGUAAGCACACUAUUGGUGGCAAAACCAGAUGCAGUAGAGGGAGGACAUAUAAAUACUGUGUACUCCAGAAUUCAAGCAGUGUGGCCCUUCCAGCCUGCUUAUACUCAGUCUGAAGUGUGGUUCUCUUACCUCAUGGCUUUCCCCCUGGCUUCCCACUGUGUGCUUCAACUGAUUUUAAUAAUCUAUGUGAUUCAAGUGUUUUAAUUUGGUCUGGGAGCCCUUUUGUUUCAUGACUUGGGGCUGGUUGCCUGCCUGGUAGUGUACUUGGGGGCCACUCCUGCAACAAGGUCAUUCCCCAUGCAAUGGAGAAGAUAUGGGAAGUUUAAAAAAAUAAUUUGAAUUUCUUGGGGGGUAUAUCUUGGAGCCAAUGAUUCUACUUUAUCUAAUUUGCUUAAUCAUUUGCUGUGGUUUUAAGGAACAGUUCUGAUUUUCUAUGAAGCGAAGAAACACAAAAGAACAAUAUUUUGAAAUGGACUAACUUCUGAAGUGAUUUGUGAGACCACAUCUGGAAAAUAAUUAUAGCAGAAAAAGCCCACAAACAAAUAUUUCAUCAAAGGAAUGUUGAACUGAAAAACAGCAUCACGUUCUGAUGACACUUGCUUACUUUCAUAUAUCCAUUCAAAGGAUAUUUACAAAGCCCGAGACAUGAAUCGUCUGAUGACAUUUAAGACAAUGCAAAAAUAAAUUUAGAUCUAAAGUAUCACUGAAUGACAUAAUUCAAUUGUAGUAGAAGGUCAUUAUUUAAAUAAAUAUUAAUCAGAAACAGGAUUAGACCUUGGAGUUUGUUUCAACAUAUAUUAGCACUGAAUGCCAAAGUAAAAUCAAGUAUAUAAUUUGGAGCAGUUUAACUUAACAUUUGCUGUGAUUAAUUUUUUCUUUAUUUUAUGUUAAUCCUAGUAGAGUCAACAUACAGGGUUAUAUUAGUUUCAUUGCUGGGAGUUAUUUACUGCCCAUUUGUUCAAGGCAGUCCACUAGAUACUGCAUAUGGCUAUGAAGAUGAAACAUAUAUUCUCCAAGGGUUUACAGUCUAAUUAUAAAGAUGGAGAAUAUUCUCCAAAAGUAAACACAACUUCAUAGAAAUGAAAAGCUAUAGGGGUUGGAAGAAGGGACAAACCUAUCUGGCUGGAGGAGCUGUGGGAGAUUAGGAUCCAUGACUGGCAGGUAAAGGGCAAGGAGAAAGCAAAGAAGGCCCAUGGAAUUACAUGAUGCAGAACUUAGGUAUUUCCUUACAAGAAGUCAAGAUAGUAGCUCACAUGGACCAUAAACUAUUAUGGAAAAAGAUAUGACAAAACCUACAGGUAAUGACUCUGGUAGCGGCAGACUUUCUCACUGUUCUCUCACCCCCAACAUCAUAACUUAAUUGACCAUUAGGUUUCCCAGGGAAGCA